AUAACCUCAUAAUGGUCAGAGCCAGAGAAGGGAGUUAAAAGACUGGUUCCUCAAUCUCAUAACCUUUUAAGAAACGGGCUCCACUUGACUUAAAAAUGUGGACCAAUGCUGUCCCCACCACGUAGGUAACACAUCUUUCACAUCCUCUGGAGGAGUAAGUCUGGAAAGGAUGGGGCAGCCAGAAAAGAACUGAGGUAAUCCAAAAGAAAGUAUUUGGGGACUUCCAGAAGAUUCUCGAGCCAACAAAAAUAUACCCCAAUGCCAAAGCACUCCCUCACUAAAGUCAAUAUGUGAAAAUGUGAAUAUUAUUUUGGAUGCCGCUGUGCUAACCCAAGUGUGUUAAGUCGGCGGACGCCCAUGACAUUCGAAAUCGGUUGGAACGGAACCAUCUCUUGAAUAAAUUAAGUCAUGCGUGAAAACCCAAAUUUGUGUUACAACUCAACAGAAUCAAGGCCUUGCGAAUUGGUAGUCAAACAUGGCCCCUAUUUUUAGUAUUUAAAACUCAUGAUGCCCGGCAUUUUUUUUACCGUUUUGUACACAGAACUUCUACGCAUCGUCCUGACAAUGUCCACGCUUUGAUAACCAAAUCAGAAAAAAAAGAGCGCAGAAACACGGAAUCAUAGAAACCACUAGACGGAUGCAUAACGCCGGCAGUAGUCUUAAAACACCCCCAAGAAAUGUUGUUCUCAAGUGUGAUUCUCAGCUAACUGUUCCUGCGCGAGGAAAGGAAGACACAAGCUGAUGUACACACACGUUUAGGUCUGUUAUUUCAACGACACGGAUUUGAAUUUGUUGAAAUAUCUUCCAUUUUCCACCAGUCCCCAAGGAAAACAGGAAAACAGGGACCCAGGUUGGCACGCCACCUCAUUUGGCCCAUGCUUUUGUGAAAUCAUAGACUUUUCGAGCUGGAAAAGUCACAGGGUCGCUUUGCUCUGUUCUUCAUUUUGUAGAGAAGAAACUUGAGGCUAAGAAGCACUCUGUGUGCUCGGGCCUCACAGCUCAUUAGGAACACGACCCAGGCCCUUUCUUGGGCUGCUGGAAACUGAAUGCUUCUGCAGCACCUUAACAUCGUAUGAAUAACUUGUAAAAUGUAUACAUACAUGGAGCAUGGGUGCGUAGAAAAGAUCAUCUAUAUCCUAGUACCCAAAUAAAUCAUUGUUUUCGUCUUUUUUUAAGAUUUUGUUUCUAAGUAAUCCCAACAUCCAAUGUGGGGUUUGAACUCACCACCCAGAGAUCAGGAGUCACAUGCUUCACACACUGAGCCAGCCAGGUGUCCCCGUUGAUUUUGUUUUUAAAUAUUACUUUCUAGUAUCUUUCUUUGACUUGCGUACGAUUUUAAUAGAUUUUUCUAUGUGUAUAAAACUUCGCUGUGUGCUUUUCGCUUAACGUGCCAUUCUUAUAUUUUUCCUGCUGAAAGGUUUUCAUGAGCUUAAUUUCACUCCAUAUUUAAUACGGUGCCCAAUGA